AUACGUAGGUGACAAGCGUUAUCCGGAUUUACUGGGCGUAAAGGGCGCGUAGGCGGUCCUGUAAGUCAGAAGUGAAAUUCCUGGGCUCAACCCGGGCGCUGCAUCUGAAACUGACGGGCUUGAGUAUGGGAGAGGGUGGCGGAAUUUCCUGUGGAGCGGUAAAAUGCGCAGAUAUAGGGAAGAACACCGGUGGCGAAGGCGGCUAUCUGGACAGUAACGGGCGCUGAGGCGCGAAAGCGUGGGGAGCAAACAGGAUUAGAUACCCUAGUAGUCCACGCUGUAAACGAUGAGAGCUAAAUAUUGCCGCGAGGCAGUGUUGAAGCUAACGCAUUAAGUUCUCCGCCUGGGGAGUACGGUCGCAAGACUGAAACUUAAAGGAAUUGACGGGG
rnacentral:rRNA from 1 species